AUGAACGCUAGUUACAGGCUUAACACAUGCAAGUCGAGGGGCAUCAGGAAGAAAGCUUGCUUUCUUUGCUGGCGACCGGCGCACGGGUGAGCAACACGUAUCCAACCUGCCCUUUACUCGGGGAUAGCCUUUCGAAAGAAAGAUUAAUACCCGAUAGCAUAAUGAUUCCGCAUGGUUUCAUUAUUAAAGGAUUCCGGUAAAGGAUGGGGAUGCGUUCCAUUAGGUUGUUGGUGAGGUAACGGCCCACCAAGCCUUCGAUGGAUAGGGGUUCUGAGAGGAAGGUCCCCCACAUUGGAACUGAGACACGGUCCAAACUCCUACGGGAGGCAGCAGUGAGGAAUAUUGGUCAAUGGGCGCUAGCCUGAACCAGCCAAGUAGCGUGAAGGAUGAAGGCUCUAUGGGUCGUAAACUUCUUUUAUAUAAGAAUAAAGUGCAGUAUGUAUACUGUUUUGUAUGUAUUAUAUGAAUAAGGAUCGGCUAACUCCGUGCCAGCAGCUGCGGUAAUACGGAGGAUCCGAGCGUUAUCCGGAUUUAUUGGGUUUAAAGGGAGCGUAGGUGGACUGGUAAGUCAGUUGUGAAAGUUUGCGGCUCAACCGUAAAAUUGCAGUUGAUACUGUCAGUCUUGAGUACAGUAGAGGUGGGCGGAAUUCGUGGUGUAGCGGUGAAAUGCUUAGAUAUCACGAAGAACUCCGAUUGCGAAGGCAGCUCACUGGACUGCAACUGACACUGAUGCUCGAAAGUGUGGGUAUCAAACAGGAUUAGAUACCCUGGUAGUCCACACAGUAAACGAUGAAUACUCGCUGUUUGCGAUAUACAGUAAGCGGCCAAGCGAAAGCAUUAAGUAUUCCACCUGGGGAGUACGCCGGCAACGGUGAAACUCAAAGGAAUUGACGGGGGCCCGCACAAGCGGAGGAACAUGUGGUUUAAUUCGAUGAUACGCGAGGAACCUUACCCGGGCUUAAAUUGCAGUGGAAUGAUGUGGAAACAUGUCAGUGAGCAAUCACCGCUGUGAAGGUGCUGCAUGGUUGUCGUCAGCUCGUGCCGUGAGGUGUCGGCUUAAGUGCCAUAACGAGCGCAACCCUUAUCUUUAGUUACUAACAGGUUAUGCUGAGGACUCUAGAGAGACUGCCGUCGUAAGAUGUGAGGAAGGUGGGGAUGACGUCAAAUCAGCACGGCCCUUACGCCCGGGGCUACACACGUGUUACAAUGGGGGGUACAGAAGGCAGCUAGCGGGUGACCGUAUGCUAAUCCCAAAAUCCUCUCUCAGUUCGGAUCGAAGUCUGCAACCCGACUUCGUGAAGCCGGAUUCGCUAGUAAUCGCGCAUCAGCCACGGCGCGGUGAAUACGUUCCCGGGCCUUGUACACACCGCCCGUCAAGCCAUGGGAGCCGGGGGUACCAGAAGUACGUAACCGCAAGGAUCGUCCUAGGGUAAAACUGGUA
rnacentral:rRNA from 1 species